GUGCCCUUAGCUCAGUGGUAGAGCAACCAACUCAUAAUUGGCUGGUCAUCCGUUCAAGCCGGAUAGGGCGCACCA
rnacentral:tRNA from 1 species